AUUGUUUACUUUAUCAAUUGUUUCCUUUAUCACGUUUCAAGUUGAUGACACAAGGCAAGUUAAACAGUUGACAAGCAAAAACUUCACUUAGCCAGCAGCUUGACUUUAUUCAACAAUGGUGUCAAGAAAUCCUAUACAAUCGUGUGAUUCAAUAUGGAACUGUACAUAUGCUGAAACAAGAAGCUGACAUGCACAGCAAAUGAGAAGCCAGCAGUCAACUUAACCUCGAUGACGAAGAAAUAAAAGAAAACCCCAAAAUGACUCAGUUUCUUUUACCACGACCUUUUAACAACGUGGUUUGGCUUGCUAAAAGUCCUGUUUUUAAUUUCAUGAAAGGAGAGUUCACG